UACGAAGGGGGCUAGCGUUGCUCGGAAUCACUGGGCGUAAAGGGUGCGUAGGCGGGUCUUUAAGUCAGGGGUGAAAUCCUGGAGCUCAACUCCAGAACUGCCUUUGAUACUGAGGAGCUUGAGUUCGGGAGAGGUGAGUGGAACUGCGAGUGUAGAGGUGAAAUUCGUAGAUAUUCGCAAGAACACCAGUGGCGAAGGCGGCUCACUGGCCCGAUACUGACGCUGAGGCACGAAAGCCAGGGGAGCGAACGGG
rnacentral:rRNA from 1 species